rnacentral:tRNA from 1 species
GGGCCAGUAGCUCAGCUGGUUAGAGCACCGCCCUUAUAAGGCGGGGGUCGAGAGUCCGAGUCUCUCCUGGCCCA